rnacentral:rRNA from 1 species
UAGGGAAUCUUCGGCAAUGGACGAAAGUCUGACCGAGCAACGCCGCGUGAGUGAAGAAGGUUUUCGGAUCGUAAAACUCUGUUGUUAGAGAAGAACAAGGACGUUAGUAACUGAACGUCCCCUGACGGUAUCUAACCAGAAAGCCACGGCUAACUACGUGCCAGCAGCCGCGGUAAUACGUAGGUGGCAAACGUUGUCCGGAUUUAUUGGGCGUAAAGCGAGCGCAGGCGGUUUCUUAAGUCUGAUGUGAAAGCCCCCGGCUCAACCGGGGAGGGUCAUUGGAAACUGGGAGACUUGAGUGCAGAAGAGGAGAGUGGAAUUCCAUGUGUAGCGGUGAAAUGCGUAGAUAUAUGUAGGAACACCAGUGGCGAAGGCGGCUCUCUGGUCUGUAACUGACGCUGAGGCUCGAAAGCGUGGGGAGCAAACAGG